CUCUCGCAGUCUAAGACAACCUGCGUUUAUCUCCGAUACAGAGUUUGAAUGUCCUUUAGCUCUGAACCGACGCACAUAGCACCGAAGAAAAAUUGUAAGACAAGAAGCUGGUAUGGUUUUUCCCCAACACACUGAUUAGUUCAAAAUGCUAAGAGGCCAAGGAAAUUUGUAUGAUGGCAUCAAACUUGAGGAGCUUGCGGAAGAAAGAAGGUGUUUUAAAUAUGUAGUAGACAAAAUGCAAAAGACUAUUUGUCACCGUGAUGUGGCGCACUACAACAUAAAGAAGAUUUUCAGGAUUGCAAAUAAUAAGAAUUGGCCAAGAUACGUAAAUAGAAGAGAAGUGAUUAAGAAUGAAAUGGAAGGAUCGUGGGUUGAGGAAAAGCGCCUUUUUCACGGAUCUCCCCACGCUCAAGAAAUUGCUACAGACGGUUUUGAUCGUGGAUACGCAAAGGACUCGGGAAUGUUUGGCAAAGGUGUCUACUUCGCUGAAAACUCGUCAAAGAGCAACAACUACGCCUAUGGAAAUUUCUCUCCGUGCAAAGACCACACAAAUCGUCAAUGCGAACUUUGCACGCUUUGCAAAGUAGCUUUGGGGAAAGUCUUUGAAACUACCUCCACUGUGAAAUCGUGUCCACGCGGCUAUCACUCGGUCAAGGCGCUUCCGCAAAGAGGAUUUUUGAAUCACGUAGAAUACAUCAUUUACAACGAUGAUCAAGUAUGUAAAUUUGGUUUAUCCGAGAUUCCUGAUUGAGUAUACAACCACCUACACAGCUCAAGUUGUGCCGAGGCCUAAUCCGCAAAUCGAUCCCUUUUUUAGACAAUUUUUGAGGUUGAAGAGAAUGAUGAAUAAACCUCAACAGAAUCGCCAAAACACGAAAGGCUGCAUUAUUUUGUGAUUAAAGGAAGCUGUGCCAAAGCCAAAGCCGUAUAAUAAUUGUAAUAUAUUCAAUAAAUACAACAACUGUGAGAA